rnacentral:rRNA from 1 species
GACGAACGCUGGCGGCGUGCCUAAUACAUGCAAGUAGAACGCUGAAGGAGGAGCUUGCUUCUCUGGAUGAGUUGCGAACGGGUGAGUAACGCGUAGGUAACCUGCCUGGUAGCGGGGGAUAACUAUUGGAAACGGUAGCUAAUACCGCAUAAGAGUAGCUGUUGCAUGACAUUUGCUUGAAAGGUUCAAUUGCAUCACUACCAGAUGGACCUGCGUUGUAUUAGCUAGGUGUUGUGGUAACGGCUUACCAAGGCGACGAUACAUAGCCGACCUGAGAGGGGGAUCAGCCACACUGGGAGGGAGACCCGGCACAGACGCCUUGGGGAGGCAGCAGGAGGGAAUCGUCAGCAAUGGACGGAAGUCUGACCGAGAAACGCCGCGUGAGUGAAGAAGGUUGUCGCAUCGUAAAGCUCGGUUUUAAGAGAAGAACCAGUGUGAGCGUGGAAAGUUCACACUGUGACGGUAUCUUAUAAGAAAGGGACGGCUAACUACGUG